AUGUCUGAUCUGGGUCUGCUAAGCUUCUAUCUCGGAAUUGAAGUGAAGCAGACAGAGGAUGGCAUCGUCAUUUCACAGAGCGCGUACGCACGGAAACUCCUGGAGAAGAGUGGCAUGACUGGCCGCAAACCUUGUCACAUCCCCAUGGAGCCUCGUUUCAAGCUAUCAAAGGAGAGCACGACGCCACCAGUGGAUGCGACGGAGUACCGCAGCGUCGUCGGCAGCCUGCGCUAUCUGGUGCACACACGCCUUGACCUGACCUUCUCGGUUGGGUACGUCUCGCGCUUCAUGGAGGCGCCAACUGAAGAGCACCGCACCGCCGUCAAGCACAUCUUGAGGUACAUCGCCGGCACUCUGUAUCUGGGCUGCAAGUACGGCAGAGGAGAUGAUGAGCCUGAACUCACUGGGUACAGCGAUAGUGACCUUGGCGGCGAUGUGGACACACGCAAGAGCACCUCCGGGACCCUGUUCUUGCUCGGAGGAGGAGUGAUAACCUGGCAGUCGCAGAAGCAGAAGAUCGUGGCACUCUCCAGCUGCGAACAGAGUACGUCGUAG
rnacentral:rRNA from 1 species